GACGAGGGGUCCAAGCGUUGUUCGGAAUCAUUGGGCGUAAAGCGGGUGUAGGCGGCUCUAUAAGUCAGGAGUGAAAUCCCCGAGCUUAACUUGGGAAGUGCUUUUGAUACUGCAGAGCUUGAAUGUGGGAGAGGUUAGUGGAAUUCCAGGUGUAGUGGUGAAAUACGUAGAUAUCUGGAGGAACACCGGUGGCGAAGGCGACUAACUGGCCCAACAUUGACGCUGAGACCCGAAAGCAUGGGGAUCAAACAGG
rnacentral:rRNA from 1 species